rnacentral:rRNA from 1 species
GAUGAACGCUAGCGGCAGGCCUAAUACAUGCAAGUCGAACGAUAUCUUCCAGCUUGCUGGAAGAGAAAGUGGCGCACGGGUGCGUAACGCGUAUGCAACCUACCUUUAUCAGGGGGAUAGCCCGGAGAAAUCCGGAUUAAUACCGCAUAACAUCAUGGGGUAGCAUUAUUUUAUGAUCAAACAUUUAUGGGAUAAAGAUGGGCAUGCGUGUCAUUAGCUAGUUGGCGGGGUAACGGCCCACCAAGGCGACGAUGACUAGGGGAUCUGAGAGGAUGGCCCCCCACACGGGUACUGAGGCACGGACCAGACUCCUACGGGAGGCAGCAGUAAGGAAUAUUGGUCAAUGGAGGGAACGCUGAACCAGCCAUGCCGCGUGCAGGAAGACUGCCCUAUGGGUUGUAAACUGCUUUUAUCCGGGAAUAAACCUGAGUACGUGUACUUAGCUGAAUGUACCGGAAGAAUAAGGAUCGGCUAACUCCGUGCCAGCCGCCGCCGUAAAAC